GUCCCUUUGGGGACAUUCGAUAAAAUUGAAACGAUAUAGAGAAAAUAAGCAUGCAUGCAUAAGAAUGACACACAAAAAUCUAGAAAUGGUCCUUAGAAAC